GGUCCCAUAGCUCAGUUGGUUAGAGCAUCUGACUCAUAAUCAGAGGGUCACUGGUUCGAGCCCAGUUGGGACCACCC
rnacentral:tRNA from 2 species